rnacentral:rRNA from 1 species
AUUGAACGCUGGCGGCAGGCUUAACACAUGCAAGUCGAACGAGUGGCGGACGGGUGAGUAAUGCUUGGGAAUCUAGCUUAUGGAGGGGGAUAACUACGGGAAACUGUAGCUCAUACCGCGUACCAUAGGCUGAGCCCAAGUGGGAUUAGGUAGUGGGUGAGGUAAAGGCUCACGAAGCCGACGAUCUCUAGCUGGUCUGAGAGGAGGACCCGCCACACGGGGACGUAGACACGGCCCAGACUCCUACGGGAGGCAGCAGUGGGGAAGAGUGCACAAUUGGCGCAAGCCUGAUGCAGCCAUGCCGCGUGUAGGAAGAAGGCCGUCGGGUUGUAAAGUACUUUCAGUCGGGAGGCGUUACCGACAGAAGAAGCACCGGCUAACUCCGUGCCAGCAGCCGCGGUAAUUC